UGAGUAACCUGCCCUUCACUCUGGGAUAACUCCGGGAAACCGGGCUAAUACUGGAUUAUGACUCGAACAGGCAUCUGUUUCGGGUGGAAAGAUUUUAUUGGUGGAGGAUGGACUCGCGGCCUAUCGGCUUGUUGGUGAGGUAAUGGCUCACCAAGGCGACGACGGGUAGCCGGCCUGAGAGGGCGAUCGGCCACACUGGGACUGAGACACGGCCCAGACCUCCUACGGGAGCA
rnacentral:rRNA from 1 species